GAUGAACGCUAGCGGCAGGCCUAAUACAUGCAAGUCGAACGGGAUUAAGAGGCUUGCUUCUUAUGAGAGUGGCGCACGGGUGCGUAACACGUAUGCAACCUACCUUCAACUGGGGGAUAGCCUUCCGAAAGGGAGAUUAAUACCGCAUAAUAUAAUUGAGUGGCAUCACUUGAUUAUCAAACGUCAGGGUUGAAGAUGGGCAUGCGUCCGAUUAGUUUGUUGGUGAGGUAGCGGCUCACCAAGACUACGAUCGGUAGGGGAUCUGAGAGGAUGGCCCCCCACACUGGGACUGGGACACGGACCAGACUCCUACGGGAGGCAGCAGUAAGGAAUAUUGGUCAAUGGACGGAAGUCUGAACCAGCCAUGCCGCGUGCAGGAAGACGGUCCUCUGGAUUGUAAACUGCUUUUGUUAGGGAAGAAACUUCCGUACGUGUACGGGACUGACGGUACCUAAAGAAUAAGGAUCGGCUAACUCCGUGCCAGCAGCCGCAGUAAAAC
rnacentral:rRNA from 1 species